GUCUGUACUUACUUGUGGCCUAUUAUUCCACCAACUUCUGGAAUCCAUAGUUUUGUUUCACCUAAAAGAGGUGUUUCACGUUAAGUCCUAAACUGUCCCUUUCGAUCAGAAAACAUUAUCAAGUAAAAAGAGGGCCUGACUUGUGAUGUGGACCUUGAUAGGGAUGUAUAUAAAAAAUACCCCUUUCUGUCUCAUUAGAGAUAUCUUUGCAGAAGCUCAAGGAAGCAAGGUGAAUGGUUAGAGUUAGGACCCACC